rnacentral:rRNA from 1 species
GACGAACGCUGGCGGCGUGCUUAACACAUGCAAGUCGAACGGACAGACAGAGAGCUUGCUCUCUUGAAGUUAGUGGCGAACGGGUGAGUAACGCGUAAUCAACCUGCCCUUCAGAGGGGGAUAACAACGGGAAACCGUUGCUAAUACCGCGUACGAUUCAUGAACGGCAUCGUUUAUGAAUGAAAGGUGGCCUCUAUGUAUAAGCUAUCGCUGAAGGAGGGGAUUGCGUCUGAUUAGCUAGUUGGAGGGGUAACGGCCCACCAAGGCAAUGAUCAGUAGCCGGUCUGAGAGGGUGAACGGCCACAUUGGGACGGAGACACGGCCCAAACUCCUCCGGGAGGCAGCAGUGGGGAAUCUUCCGCAAUGGACGAAAGUCUGACGGAGCGACGCUGCGUGAGUGAUGAAGGUCUUCGGAUUGUAAAGCUCUGUUAAUCGGGACGAAAGAGUUCUGCGUGAAUAAUGCAGAAAAGUGACGGUACCGGAAUAGAAAGCCACGGCUAACUACGUGCCAGCAGCCGCCGUAA